rnacentral:rRNA from 2 species
UGGGGAAUAUUGCACAAUGGGCGCAAGCCUGAUGCAGCGACGCCGCGUGAGGGAUGACGGCCUUCGGGUUGUAAACCUCUGUUAGCAUCGAAGAAGCGAAAGUGACGGUAGGUGCAGAGAAAGCGCCGGCUAACUACGUGCCAGCAGCCGCGGUAAUACGUAGGGCGCGAGCGUUGUCCGGAAUUAUUGGGCGUAAAGAGCUUGUAGGCGGUUGGUCGCGUCUGCUGUGAAAGGCUGGGGCUUAACCCUGGUUUUGCAGUGGGUACGGGCUAACUAGAGUGCAGUAGGGGAGACUGGAAUUCCUGGUGUAGCGGUGGAAUGCGCAGAUAUCAGGAGGAACACCGAUGGCGAAGGCAGGUCUCUGGGCUGUAACUGACGCUGAGAAGCGAAAGCAUGGGGAGCGAACA